GUCUUGUUUUUGAUGUGGAACAGGGACAGCAAUGAUGCGGGGCGCUUGGUCCGCUGGCAUACCGUAGAAGUUCUCAGGUUCGAGACAUGCAUGCAUGCUGGAUAAUAGAGUGUGAAAAGCACGAAAUGCCUGUUUUGUGAGGUGUUUGACGACAAAUCUGCCGUUAGUCUAUCUGAAAGACAAUAGCGUCGUUCUUCCCAAUGUGGGCUGCCCUCUUCGCAAGAGCGAACGAUGCAGACUUGCGCCUCCUUUGAAUUGGCUAUCUAUUUGCCUCUGUCUACCCUGGACAAGACUCGCUGAGUAUCCUGCAUUCUCAAACAAAUAUGCAAAGUCAGUUUCCGACUGGGAGGUGCCUCAUUUUGCAGCAAAAUAAAUUGGGACACGAGUCCUCGGACAUGCUUGAGUAGAUCGGCAAAAAACACACAACGUAGAGAUCGACAACAUUUGAGGCAUUCUUGAGUGCAGAUGCUCUCGACAUAUUCAUUUGAGGAGCAUUUUGCAUUCCAUGGUCAUUCUACAAAAGAUUCGGGUGGCUUUUUGCCCCUCCCUGUCACAAUAACGUGAAUAUUUUGUUAUGGCUGGUAAAGAAAAGACUGUCGAUUAGAACAGCGGGAGACAAUGUCGUCACAAUCGUGCCCCUCCCUGGUUAAAUGUUAUCUCCCAGUCUAAAAUAGCUCCUGUUUCUACAGCGGGGAUUCGGCCUGACAGCUCGACCAAAAUGGUUCUUCAGGUUUCUUCUGCAGUGGCUCUUCAGUGCUCUCCGUGGACAUGCUUGGUUCAUGCUUUGAGAUCCAGCGGGGGCUCACUUGCUCCAGGAGUGGCCAGCAACAGCAACAAUAAGAAACAUUCAUUUGGGAGUUUCCUAUGGCGCGG
rnacentral:lncRNA from 1 species